UUCAUACUCUCCAUCUCUCUGUACACUAUAAAUAGGUGUUCUUUCUUCCUGUACUUCGUCUACUUUCUGUGGUUCGUUUCUUUCUUCUUGUUUAUACUAGCUCCAUGGUUUGUUCUUCCUGCUGUUGUAAUGGGCCACGGCGUCGGCCUCCUCGGCUGCGUGGAGCUGUCGUUGGUCGUCGUCCUCCUGCUCCACCCGGUGUUGGCACUGCAGCAGCGAGCACGAGGCCAUGCAGUGAUUCACGCAGCGCGCGGUGGCGGUGUAGGUGUCUCGCACUUCUACUCCUGGCGGUGGGCAUCGGCACAACUCUCGUGUGAUCGCGGUUGUGCGCGGCUAGCUAGGCCAAGCUCACAGCGCGAUGGCAGGUUGCGCGUGCGCGCGGUGACCAUGAGUGGCAACGUGCGGUGUGGAUGCAACAUGUAGCAGCGGGCAGUACUGGCAGCGGGGAUGUUUCCAACCUCUCAUGUCCCUCUUCUGAUGUGGAGAAUGGCGGCUUGGCACGGGACGCGACAAUGCGGCCACCAGCACCCUGCAUCCUCCACCGGUGUCUCAUGUACGUGCCCCUAGCCCCCUUCCUCCUACUAUCUUCACUGCCUCUGCUGCAGUCGAUGGAUGUCCACAUGCCAGACAACGGGCGCAGCAGCGACCAUGGUGGAGCUCAAGUGCUCAACGUGGAGGAGCUCGCCAUGGGCUAAGCAUCGUUCUGGGCGCAGCUGACUGCUCCGACGCAGGCCAAGUGUUCGGCGUAAUGUCUGAACGGCUGCAGGCAAAAAUAAUGAGCUCAGUCCAGACAUUAUGUUGCUAUACUCCUACUUGUGUUCUUCCCUGAUGCUUACUUUUUGUACGAGCAAUCUCUCUCUCCCUCACUUUUGGGCGGCACAAUCUUUGUGAAUUCAGAAGCUUGUAGGAGCAUCAGUUGAAUCAUUUGGCGCUAAAGCUAAAGCUUGUGGAACUCUUUUUGUGCUGGCCUCACUAUCGAAUAAAGGUAUCAUUCGUCAUAGUUAUGUUUAUCUAUUUUCCAAUAUUUUUUAAAUAAAAACUAAUAAGUGUUGCAAGAUCAUGGCUGCUAAGAGGUUACUCUAAAAACUAGGCAUUUUGAAUAGUGAGAUGGUCUUUAAUUUUCAGUGUUAAGUAAAGAUUCAGAUAUUCAGUCAAGUUGCUUGAAAGCUGGGUCUAAUGCGUUUCUGAUCGAAAGCAGGGCAUUUUGAAUAGAACGGGACGCUUUUCAGUUUUCUUAUUGUCAAGUAAGCACUCAAUUAGAUGGGUAUAGUACAUUUCUGAUUAACUACGAGGAAACCGUAAGAGUUAAACAGAAAAUAUUACAUAAAUUUAAUUCCACACUUUAAUAUCCAACCAAAGUACAGCCUGGUCUUUUGCUGAAAGUGUUGUUGUUCAGUAAAAUCGUACUUUGGUACUAUAAUGUAAUUCCACGCUUUCAUAUUCAACCAAAGUACACCUUGAUCUUUUGCUGCAAGUGCUAUUGUUCAGUAAAAUCGUUCUUUAGUAUAAUGCGGUAGAAUCUCGAUACACUGAUGGUAGAUCCUUUAAUCGUGUACGUGUGAAAUAUAUAACUCAUUCCAUUUAUACAUAGAGUACCUUUGUGGUGCCAUGUUAAAUAAGGGUGGCCAUUUUUGUAUGACGGACAGUUGAGUGAAAAUUUGAUAUGGAUUCACAUCAGAGCUCAUGUAGCGUAAGUGAUUUCUUCUAAUUAUUUUGUGCAAAUAUCUUAUGAUCUUCUUUUUUCCGUGUUAUCGUUGGUCAAUUUACAACGAUCAAAAUCCCUUCCCUUGUCGUGCUUCCACUAUCUUCUGUAAGAACCUUGAAUUACUUUAUUUCAUGGUUUGGGUUGUGAAUGAAUUUGGAAGGAUCAUAAAGUAGUCUUUAGUUCAGUUUGUCCAUUUAUAGUGUUGAUGCAUCUAGCUACUUGUUCCUUUCUUUUGCUGUAAAAUGAAAUAGCAUUUUUAUUGUCAUUAAAUUCUUCAAGAUAUUUAAUGAUGUGAUCUGAAACUUACAGUUUUAUUCUAUUAUGGAGAGUUGGGAGUUUUAGGGAUAAAAUCAGCCACGCUGCUCCAAACAAGCGAACAGAGAAAUCAGUUAGCAUGUAACAUCUCAUCAUGCUCCUGUCAUCGAAAUAAGUAGCAUUGUAAACUAUAAUAGAGGAGUAUAUCACACAAAUGCUAUGUGGGAAGAGGUAUUUACAAUUGAAAAUAUCAAGGCAAUUUACUAACAGCGCAUCAUUACUUGCCUUAUUAUGACUGUACAAUUUCACACACAUAUCUUCUAUAUUGAAUCACAGCCGAUUGAAAAAAAAAGGUAUGUCAACUCAGCAACACCUCACACAACAUCACAAAUUUCCUUAGCAACAUCGAACCAAUUUCACGGCAAUGAAUCAACAGGGCGCGGCGUGCCGCCGCGCGGGCAUAGCUAGUUAGCUACUAUGAUGUACUAAAAUGCUGCUCAAUCGAUAGCUUUCUGUACACACACCUACCUAAUAUAUGUGUGUUGCUACUUAAGAUGAUGCUGGAUGUAGUACAUGCAUUUUUUGUUAAUUCCAACCUUAAGAUGUUGCUCUCAAAUUUAUAUAAAAAGUUAGUUCUAUAAAAUAGUUAUGAAGUGCACUUCACUUGAUCAUAACAAUUUCUACAGAGUAUUUUAAUGUUUUUCAAAUAAAAAGUAUGUGCUUAAAAUAAUAACAUUAAGUAUCUUUAGAUUUUGUUCAGUAAUUCACCGCUGAUAGACGUAUGUCUAUUUGUAGCAUCACUACUAGGAAAAGGGCUAUAGAUGAUAUGACCACUAAUGAUGCACCAGACAUGUGAUGCGCCACUACUAUAUAGUAGUGGCGCACCAUGUGUUGGUGCGCCUUUAGUGUGAAAGACACUAAGGGUGCACCAGACACAUGGUGCGCCACUAGUAACAAUUUUUUUUUUCCAAAAAUACUAAUGGCACACCAGGGCAGAGUGCGCCAUUAUUAGUUUUAACUAGUAAUGGCGCACCAGC